rnacentral:rRNA from 1 species
CGUAGGGUGCGAGCGUUAAUCGGAAUUACUGGGCGUAAAGCGUGCGCAGGCGGUUUGUUAAGAUAGGCGUGAAAUCCCCGGGCUCAACCUGGGAACUGCGCUUAUGACUGGCAAGCUAGAGUACGGCAGAGGGGGGUGGAAUUCCACGUGUAGCAGUGAAAUGCGUAGAGAUGUGGAGGAACACCAAUGGCGAAGGCAGCCCCCCGGGUCGAUACUGACGCUCAUGCACGAAAGCGUGGGUAGCAAACAGGAUUAGAUACCCUGGUAGUCCACGCCCUAAACGAUGUCAACUAGGUGUUGGGAGGGUAAAACCUUUUAGUACCGGAGCUAACGCGUGAAGUUGACCGCCUGGGGAGUACGGCCGCAAGGUUA